GCAUAUCAAUAAGCGGAGGAAAAGAAACCAACCGGGAUUGCCUCAGUAACGGCGAGUGAAGCGGCAAGAGCUCAAAUUUGAAAGCUGGCUCCUUCGGAGUCCGCAUUGUAAUUUGCAGAGGAUGCUUUGGGUGCGGCCCCCGUCUAAGUGCCCUGGAACGGGCCGUCAGAGAGGGUGAGAAUCCCGUCUUGGGCGGGGUGUCCGUGCCCGUGUAAAGCUCCUUCGACGAGUCGAGUUGUUUGGGAAUGCAGCUCUAAAUGGGUGGUAAAUUUCAUCUAAAGCUAAAUACUGGCCGGAGACCGAUAGCGCACAAGUAGAGUGAUCGAAAGAUGAAAAGCACUUUGAAAAGAGAGUUAAACAGCACGUGAAAUUGUUGAAAGGGAAGCGCUUGCGACCAGACUCGCCCGCGGGGUUCAGCCGGCAUUCGUGCCGGUGUACUUCCCCGUGGGCGGGCCAGCGUCGGUUUGGGCGGCCGGUCAAAGGCCCCUGGAAUGUAGUGCCCUCCGGGGCACCUUAUAGCCAGGGGUGCAAUGCGGCCAGCCUGGACCGAGGAACGCGCUUCGGCACGGACGCUGGCAUAAUGGUCGUAAACGACCCGUCUUGAAAC
rnacentral:rRNA from 1 species